AUCCAUUUUCUGUUUUGAAAGAUGCUAAUUUCCUAAAUUUAAGGGAGGCUGACAGAUUUCCUCAACCUCUCUCUCAUUCCUAUCAUCUUGCACUCUCACAUUCUAUAAAAAAAGACUCAUACUCCCUUAUUCACACACUUUUUCACUCAGCAUAUUUCUCUCAAAUACACUCAAGAACACACACUAAUUCUCUGCAAGACACACAAAAAGCACUCACACAUAUAGGUUGAUUUUACCUGAAGUUUAAUUCUUCAAAAGCAAAAAAAAAAGGAACAGAAGUAAUUUGGCUUCAGGUUUUCACCAGUUUUCUAGUUCUUUUCCUUUGGUUGAGCUGUUGGAUUUGUGCUCCUGAUCUGAAAUUGUUAUCUUACUGAUUCAGAGACUUAUUUUCUAAUUUUCUGUUAUUUUUUUAGCAAUUAGGUACACCUCUAUGAUUCUAUACAAUUCUGAUCUUUAGAAUAACCAAAGUUUUCUAUUUUAAUAUGGAGUUAUGACUCUUUGUUGCUCUUAUAUGAUUUCAUGUCUGCUUGUAAGUUGAUUGGUCCAUAUUUGAACUUAUCUCUUUGACAUUGUUCUUGUUUUAGAUAAAAAUACUAGCUAAAGUAAAUUUUUUGUUUAAGUGUGGUUUCCUGAAGCAUAAGCAUAUCUUAUUGUAUUGAUAGGGCUAUUAUUUUGCUUAAUAUUACUUGCUAAAAGUGAAAUUCAUGUGUUCAGAAUUAUAAGCACAUUGGUUGUUUGUGUAAAGGCGAGAAGCAUCACAUUGCAAUCGAAAGCAUUUGGAAGUUCAACAUAUAUGUGAUUCACUUGUUUAUGCUUUGGAUGUUUGAGAUUAAGUUGUCUGAUUCCAAAAGACAUGAGAAGAAGCGGUUUAAUUUUGGUAACACCUAGUUCUAGUAUAUAUGAAGGAUGGUUGUUUAUUGUAAACUCAGAAUUUGCAAAAACAAUUGAGUAUAAUAGCUUAAGUCUAUAGUUUUAUGUGCUGUCUUAAGUUUGCAUUUUGCUCCCUGUUUUGAAUUUUGGACUCUAGUGCUUCUCAAAUUGAACAUUGAGGUAAUGGUUUGUUUGAGCUAAGUAUUUAAGAGUCAAAUACUUCCAUGAGGCAACGCGUUAAUCACAUGAUGUUCUAAUAUUAAUCCCAUAGUUUCAGUUGUUGCUUAUAACUAUUUUCAUAUUAGGUUGAAAUUCUAAUUUUUAAUUUAUUUUGGCUGCAAACUGUGCAUUGAUUAGUUUGAUUGCUACUGACGGAGGAACUAUUUCAAUAGAGAAAGUCCAUAGGUUCAAAAUUCCAUUAUUAGGAGUCAGGCGUUUAGCGAGUUGUUUAUAAGGAUUUAAACUGAAUAUGGCCAUUACUGAUCCCUUUAAAUUUGGAACAAUCAUGCAUUGAUGUUUGAGGAAAUUUGCACUUAUAUUCUAUGUGCUUUCAUAAAAUUGUGUGGAAAGGUCGUUGGAAUCAUUAGGUUCAGCAGUAAUGAGAGUCUUCGAAAUUUUGAGAUAUUUGCACCUCUAGGUCCAGCUUAGAACCAUUUUGUAAUUUAUGGCUUCAUUGCUGAAGUUUAGUGGGGCAUUUGCAUCUAUACCCUCUUUUUGUGUCACGUUUUAACUUGUGUCCGUUUUGCAAAAAAAAUUGCAAACGUACCCGCUUUUUCGCAUAACUUCAGCAUACAGGGCUGAAGUAGCAAAGACAAUCAUGCAAAACUUCAAGAUUCUAGUAGACGGGCCUGAAGUAGCAAGUAUGUUGAACCAAGUGUGCUGAAGUUUUUGUUUUGUAACUGGCGAACUUCAGCUCUAGAGCUGAAGCUUUUGUUUUUGUAACUGGCGAACUUCAGCUCUAGUGCUGAAGUUUUUGUUUUGUAACUGGCGAACUUCUGCUCUAGAGCUAAAGUUUUUGUUUUGUAACUGUCGAACUUCAGCUCUAGAGCUGAAGUUAUUUAGUUCAUUUAUAAAAACUUCAGAACUAUUCAUGUUUGUUUGGGAUCUUGGUCAUCUGUAUUUUAAGAACUAUUCAUGUUCAUUUAUAAAAACUUCAGAACUAUUCUUGGUCACCCUAAAUCCAGACCCGAUCGUGAUGGCACCUCUUGUGAAGACAAGGCCAGCCAAUUAAACCCAAUUCACUUUUUAAAAAGUUAAGCAACAUAAAAAGCAGUCUAAACAUGAUUUAGCAAUACUAAGUAGCGGAUAAUAUCAAUAAAGUGCGGAAGUACAACCCAACACAGCCCUAACCAGGGUGUCACAAGUCACGAGCAUCUAACAACACUGGAUACUCAAAUGUAACUACAGAGUUUAACACUGAACUAAGGUCAUAAGGAAAAGAGAUAGGGAGGAGCUCCGGGCUGCGAACGCCAAUAGCUACCUAAAGACUCCUCGAGAUCUGCCUGAAGCUGGGAUGAAUCACCACUCGGGAGCGGGACUAGCUAUGCCUGAAUCUACACACAGGGUGCAUGGAGUAAAGUGAGUACUCCAACUCAGUGAGUAACAAAUGUAAAUAACGACUGAAAGUAAAAAAACACGUAAGGCACAAGACAUUCUAUAAUGAAGCAGUAAAACGAUUUAAAAGCAGUAAACCAAUGAAAAGUUUAGAUAUUCCUUUUUCAACAAGUAACCAGAUAAUUAUACAGCCAGUUAAGGUAAAGUAAACAAAUAGAAGUUCUCCCCUCGGGCACAAUAUCAACAAAUCCGCCCCUCGAGCAACGUCUCAGAAUAGUACCAGCCCUUCGGGCUCAAUCUCACAUCACAAUGGGUACCCAUGCUCACUAGAGGUAUGCAGACUCCUGGAGGGGCCCCUUACGGCCCAAUCGCAAUAUCAAGCCACCUUGUGGCAUCAUCACUAGGCCCUCGUAAUUAUAUCAAUCAAACCACCUCGUGGCAUACAUAUCUCAAGCCUUCGGCCUCAUAAUCAGUAUCAAAUGUUUCCUCACAAAAUAUCAUUAAAAAGAUCAUGUAAGAGUUAAAACAGAGUAAACAUGGCUGAGUACAAAAAACAGUAAAAUAUAACAUGACUAAGUUUAG
rnacentral:lncRNA from 1 species